CCUACGGGAGGCAGCAGUGAGGAAUAUUGGUCAAUGGGCGGAAGCCUGAACCAGCCAAGUCGCGUGAGGGAAUAAGGCCCUACGGGUCGUAAACCUCUUUUGCCGGGGAGCAAGGGCGGGGACGUGUCCCGUCCCGGAGAGUACCCGGAGAAAAAGCAUCGGCUAACUCCGUGCCAGCAGCCGCGGUAAUACGGAGGAUGCGAGCGUUAUCCGGAUUUAUUGGGUUUAAAGGGUGCGUAGGCGGGCUUCUAAGUCAGCGGUAAAAAUUCGGGGCUCAACCCCGUCCGGCCGUUGAAACUGGGGGCCUUGAGUGGGCGAGAAGAAGGCGGAAUGCGUGGUGUAGCGGUGAAAUGCAUAGAUAUCACGCAGAACCCCGAUUGCGAAGGCAGCCUUCCGGCGCCCUACUGACGCUGAGGCACGAAAGUGCGGGGAUCGAACAGGAUUAGAUACCCCUGUAGUC
rnacentral:rRNA from 1 species